rnacentral:lncRNA from 1 species
AAGCUAGAGUUUGAGAAGAUAGGUAAUAAGCCCAAGAUCACAUGGCUGAGUGGAGGAGCAAGACAUUCAAGCCAGCUAUGCUAUUAGGAUUUAAUUAAAUGGAUGCCAACAGCAAGUAAACCAUCUCCAAAGAUGCCAUGAAGCUCUCCUAAUUGCAGGAAAAUAUCAGAGGCACUUGAUUUGAGUCUUUCAAGUACGGAAAUAACAAAUUCAGUCUCAACAGACCUAUAGUGAAUGAGAAUGAUUGUCACAUAAUGUGUAGAGAAAAUGGAAGAAUCAAAGGCAAGGGAAACCUGUACAGUGGAGACACAAAGGGUCACUGGCAGAUUUCAAAUGAUCCAAGACAUCCUCAAGGAAGAUUUACCACAAGUUACUUUAUCAUAGCUUUGAGUGGCAUUUUAAUAUCAUAUUUUAAAAGAAAGAAAACAAUAGAAAUGUAUUAAAAUAUCUUCUCAAGAAUCCUUCCAAACCACAAGGAAAAUCACCAGGCCAAAAGUGAGGUUUGAAGUCUGGACAUGUACUGGUUUUCUCUAGCAAUCGACUCUCAAUUUUUGGACAUUGAGAUCUGCUGGUUGGAGAUCUUAGUGCCCAAGGAAGAAUGCUUGCAAAAGGAGAUGGAACAGUGUUUCUGUUGCAUUGGCCACUGAGAAUAUCUGGUUAUUUUGAAUUUGUCACAGUCUGCAGCUAAAAGGCGAACAGGAAAAGAAGAGAGAGCGGUAAUUUGAAUGAUAGCAGAUUUCACAUCAGGAACCAAUGAAGCUAGAUAAGAAUGCAACAUCUUUGAUGUCUAAAAGAAACAAAAAGCCAACCUUGAAUUCUUUAUUUAGUGAAGUUACCCUUCAGAAAUGACGGCAAAAUAAAGAUGUUUUCCAAUAAAAGACAACUAUGAGAAUUCUUCACCAGCAGUCCUAUUGUAUCAGAACAGCCAAAAGAAGUUUGUCAGCCUACAGGGAAUUAUAUCAAAGGGAAGACUUGACCUUGAAAAUGAAUGAGGAAUAUAAGAAAUUGAUAUUAUCUGGGAAGCGGCACAUGAGACUAGCAGGAGUAAAUGUUAUAUACACUGGGCCUCGCAAAAAUUCUGCAAUCACUGGGAAUCAGUAACCUGGUAGAAUGAGAAAACAACGUAAUACUGAAAAAUCAAAACACCAUCCUACAGAACUUUGAUGCAUUCAGAACAAAGAUCACGAAUCAAGCUGAAAAAGUAAAGCAUUCUGUGAGUUGUGGAAUGGAAAUUGCCUCAACCAUCUCACCACUUGAUGACACUUGUAAUUUCAGUGACCCAAUUCAAGCAAUCAAACAUCAAGUAAUACUCUCAAUAAAGAUGUGUAAUUAAAACAGAAGAGGAAACAGACUAACAGAAGUGAUGAAGAAUGGCAGUUCUAAGGAUGGCAGGAAUUCACUGAAUGUCUAUCUAUCAUGUAUGCUGUUGGAGGCACCUGUCUUUCAGUUCAGAGGUUAUGGAUGUAUCUAUCAUCAGUAUUUCGGGAAGUCAGGGACCCGGAACAGAGGGACUUAAUGAAGCUGUGGCAGAAGAAAAAAUUAUGAAGAUUUCAUGGACAUUUAUUAGUUCCCCAAAUUAAUACUUUUAUAAUUUCUUACA